AGAGCAUUUGAACGACGCACCUAAAAAGGAGCUAAUUUUAGUGUUUGUUUAAAGUCUGCUGCAGGUUUUACUUAUAAUAAUCGCCCGAGGAUCUCUCUGAAGCUUGAAAGCAAGCAGGCUGUUCAAAAAGCGUAGUAAAUAUUCUAUCCACCCAUUUCGUGGGCAGCACAUGAAGCCGAGAAAAGAAAGAAAAUGUCCAGAGCCCAAUAGAUACAGAAAAUGUCCAGAGCCCAAUAGAUACCAAAGGUCUAGAGCAAUCGAAGUGGUUGCUCAUGACUCACUAGCUUGCAUAGGCACACAAUAGCCAUUCAUCAAUGGGGCCAAAGGAACAUUACAGAGCUUGAAUCAUUUGACUAUUCAGGGUGCUGCAUCUCUUGGUUCCAGUGAGUAGCAGGUGCUCUGCAUUAUAACUGUUCCUGGUGGACUUCAUCAAGAUUAUUGCAGUGACCAGUGAGGAUAAUUCUUUACACGAACCCAACAAAGGGCCACUGUCAAUAGUGCUAGCUGAUAUAACAGGCUAUAAUUUGACCUUGUUUCAACUAGGCAUCAGAAAUCCUUGUAAGGGUAUAACUAAAAGAUGAUAUAGUUUAGGACACAAACAUAAAACUAUUUUUGAAAGUUACUAUAUGCUAUGAAAAUGAAACCGAGCUUUAUUUGAAUGGAAGACAGAGUGAAAGGCGAGCCUUCCCGCCAAAACAAGGGCCUAUGAGAGCGACUAUUUAGCAACUUACCCUUCAUAAAGCUCUGUCAUGCACCUGUAGAGCCCAUUCUUGGCAUGCACUGUCCAGUUUCAUUAUGUUAACGUCAUUAUACUGCUAGUUAGCUAUGGUCUCUGUCACGUUCUGAAUUUAAUUAAAAUAGCAGCCAUUUUGCAAGGUCCUGGUGGGUUAGACAAGGAAUAGUGAGUGCAAUAUUUUUGUAGAAUAUCAUGUCUUCACAUGGUUAAGUCUGUCCGACGUGAACUCCUUAUGAUUGUCUGAGCUGCGUGGAAUGUCAUAAGAAGGUACACGGUCAUGACUCCUCUACCAUAUCAUGAAUUUUUAGCCCUAGUUUUUGCUAUAUUUUGCUUAGCGGUAGUUGACACCAUUAUGGAACUCUCCCUCCACGAGAAACUAUCUUGAAACAAUUAAAAGUUGGUUGCUACACAUUUCCAUUGGUUGUGAAUAAUAUUCAUAAAUUAUUGCAUACAGUGACAUGUAAUUAUUGCUUCUCAUUUCUGGAGUACAUGACCUUUGAUAUACAUAGGCAGACAUUAGUAUGUUUGCCAUUAUUGUUCUUGUGAUCUUGAAUAAGCCUUCUUUAUCCAUCCAACCUGGCAGAACCAUUACAAGAUAAACUGACAUAAUUAUUACUCAGACAUUUACGUCUAGAUUACUUCUAGUAGACGGUUUUGAUUGGAGUAAAUUCUUCAGCAGCUAAAUACUUGUAUUCUACAUGAUUGUGCACACUUUCAGAGUAAUUAUCACUUCCAGUAGCCUGCAGGCUAAAGUUUUGGUACGUUCUUGUUGGCAAAAUAAUGAUGUCGGAUUGGUAUAUUGUAUCAACAAACUUGCUCGUCAAACUAAAGCAAAAUAUAGCAUCUCACAAUUAUCCUCUUUUUCACCAACUCUAUCUUCCACAUUCAGAGCAUUAAUUUCUGAACCAAAAUUUUUGUUGUCUGGGGUCCUCAGAUCCGAUCCUUUCCCUCAGAAGAAAAAAAGAAAUUCUGAACCAAAAUUGCCAACAACCCAAAGGGUGAAAGUAGAUAGGAGUAGAAUAUAUUAUUCACAUAUUAAAAGGUUUCACACAGGUACACCAUAAAUA